GGGUUGGGGCUCACAUUUAAAACCAACGAGAGAAAACAAAAAGAAAAGGAAAAAAGGAAAACCAACAACACAAAAGAAGCGAAUCUAAGACGUCAAAUGAGGUAGGUUUGGGUGCAGAAGCUCCUCGUGUCUGCGGGGCCCACGGCGGCGCUCCGGGGUCUCAUCCACACUCACAAACAAAAAGAGAUCCGAAAAAGGAACCGAGCGGAGCUCUGACAGCCGCCGACGACGGAGCAGAGCCCGGAUUGUCGAGCUCAAGGAGUCUUUGUUACCUUGGACGAAGCAAAGAAAACCCUGAGUUGUCCGUCUGUCCGUCCAUCCGUCCCGCUCGGCCCUCCGUGCUCCCAGCCUUCCUGCCAUCUCCGCAGCCCCGAUGCAGGCAGAGCCCCGAGGCCCCCGGCUCCGUGUUGGCGCCACGGACGACGCGGUUUUGUUUCGUUUCUGUCAUUUCUUUCUGUUUCCUCCUCCUCCCCGUUUAAUUCAUCCACUUCCUGCAGUUCCAGGCUCCGCAGUGGCAGGGGAUCUUGUGCUGAUCGUCCUCAAAGUCGAACUGGUAGUCGUAGGCGGCGGUACUGGGAGGACUUGGAGUGCACAAACUGCUUGCUGUACGGCGUGUUGGUUUCGCCCGUGAAGGUGCUCUG